CUGCAAUUCCUUCAGGAAAUUCUUAUUAACCGUCAAUAUGAUGCAAUACUUGGAUUGGAAGUUAGGGAGACCUGGCGGAAGUUAUUGGGAGACGUGUUCUGUAAAGAAUUUUUUUAAUGUUGGUGUUUUUCCCAACAUCCAACAACGGCUAUUUAGAAAAUCGUUUGUACUUCUACGAGAUGGUGGUUGCAAAACAUAAGCGUAGCAGAUUUCUUUUGUAGAGGGAUAGAAGCAGAUAGCUCGGAUGUACCAGAUGGUAUCUAAUUUCAGGAAUUUUCAAUACUCAAUAUUUGUUCAGAUAACAGAUACAAAUUUAAAAAACAGUUGAUGGAAAAUAAUGGUGUUGUGUUAGUGCUUGAACUAUUUGGGAACUUACUUGUUCCGUGCUAUUAACUUCCUUGUAGACAGGAGGCCAAUAGCCCAAAAGACCAUGGAUUGCUGAUCUGUCAUCUGAGGUGGAAUUCUACCUGACAGCACAAGUUAGCCAAAUAUCAUUUUAGCUAAGAUUCCCUAGUUCCACAUGACAUUCGGAAUUCUUGAAAAAUAGCAACUGACACCUGCAGAUCAAAGUAAACUUAAGGUGGAUUAUAUAUUUUAAAAAGGAACCAGUUUAGAGGUGAACGCGAGAAAAAUCUCAGCACGAAGUAUGCAAAAGGUCAACCACUGUUAUGUGCCAAAACGUAUAUAUGCGCCAAAUCCAGGAAAGAAAUACUGCCAAGACUAGUAGCAGCUAAAAUGGGUGACAACACGCUUAUCAUUGCAUUCAUGUAUGGUCAUUAUAUCGUAUGCCGCAUCAACGAAAAAUUUCAAUGUCAUCUCUUUUUUUUUUUUUUUUCCCUUUCUUCGCUUUUAAAACUUACGUUUUUUGUUUGACAACUAGAUGUCGCUGCU